rnacentral:lncRNA from 1 species
AGUGAAAUAAAAGUGCUUUUUGCCCAUCUCUAAAGCUGCAUCUUAUAAGAUAAAUUUAUGUUCUCAAAAUAUUUACCCUUACAAUUAGCUAAAAUUUACAAGAUCACAGGAUCUAGCAAAAGUACAAACUGUCCCCAAAAAAAAGAUGAGAAAAAUAAAAUGGGGAAACGAAAUAGAAAAACACAGAAUUUCCAGCAAAACUUUACAUCAAGAGAAUUUCCAUCUGCCUUUGGCUUUAUGCGCUUCACCCUUGAGUGCAGGAAUACUCCAGCAAGGGCCACUCCAUCUAAUAAAAUGAGUCAUAAAUUAGUCAUGAUACCAAAAAUGAGUCAUAAAUCAGUCAUAAUACCAAAAAUUUCCUAAAUCAGUCAUGAUACCAAAAAUGAGUCAUAAAUCAGUCAUGAUAUCAAGAGCAUCCGAUGAAGUUCUGACAACAAUGAAGUUCUGACAAUCAUAAAUACUGCUAAUGCAAGGUGCAAAAAACAGAAUCAAGCAUUUUAAAAAAACUAAAGCAUAAGCUCAUCCAUGCAUAAGCAAGCAACUAGACUGUUUGUCAUCAACCUGUCUAUCUCUAAAAUAGUAUUAUGAGAAUGAAAUCAACUAAUCUAGACAUGUACCAGUGACCUUAUAAUGUAGAUAAGAUCAACUCUCUACAAUGACAGACUUUUCUUUCACAAUGACAGACAUAAGGCCUUCCAUGUUUGUUUUUCUUUUUUGUUUUGAUAAGUGAAACAUAAGACAUAAGGCCUUCCAUGUUUGUCAGAAUCUCCACUGAAAUUGUAAGCAUUUUUUCAACUUGAAAAAACAGUGCACAGUUUCAACUUGAAAAAGUGGACUUGCAAACAAUCAGAUCAAGACCAUCUUUUCACAACAAAAUUAAAAAACAGCAAAAAAGGCACAACUACCUGACUUUAAAGUGGUACCAAAAGUCAGUCCCAUGAUUACUGCAAUUCUGAAGGACACUCUGUAGACAAAAAUUUCCAAAUUAAUACAAAUAUAUAGAUAUACAAGUGUUGUUAUAGCAAUCUCAGUUCAACCUAUGAGUGAAUCACAUUCCUCAUCUACACUUGGAUCUUGAGUAGCACCAACAUUUGAUUCUCCAAUUCUACAAGGCAAAACUCAUGCUCCAGUUUGAAAUCAUCAAGUUGAACGAGUUCAAUGGACCAUAUGCAUCUGAGAAUAAAGGAAAUCAAUUUUGUGAUUGUUUGCUUAGAGAACCAAGUUGAUUUUUCAGUAUGAUAAAACAAUUAAACACAAAGGGAUAGUUUUUCACAUAGCCCUACCACAAAUUUGACAAAUGAUUGGAAGCAAAUGCAGAUGAAAACAACACUGGAAAUCUGCAGAUGAAAACAACACUGGAAAUCUACAGGUUUAUAUGUAUUCAGAUUUUACUGACAACUUAAUUCUGUACAAUAAUUCAAGAUACCAGCACAGUUGAAAAUACUCACUCGAGUCGAGUCGAGUCAGUUUUAAAUCAUAAUCAGAAGCCAACCAUGUACACUAUAACUCCUUUCAAUAACAACAACAACUAAAGAGAUGAAAAGCAUGAUGUCCCAAUAUCCUACCAUCAAAAGUGUUGUCCUGCUAAAAAAAUUGAGAGAUACUUACUAAUUUCCACUCAUCAUCAAUCAUAGGAAAAUAAUAGCUUAGCAAAAAUUUGAUUAACACCUCAGUCUCACAAGCAAUUUUAACAGAGAGAAGAGAAAAACAGAAGCAAAAAAUUAAGAAACCAGCCCUUUUAGAAGUUUAGCAGCAGAGAUAAAACAAAACCCCUUCCUAAACUCCAAACAAAGAUGAAAUAUAUAAUUUUCAAAUCGAAAAAUGAAAAGAAGUCAUCCGAAAGAGAAAGCCCUUACCGAAUUGAAGUCUGUAACCAGCAAAAUCAAAGUGAGGGAUUGAGGGAGAUCGAACUGCUUGCUUCCGAUUCUAAGUCACAGCGAGCUUUGUAGGGCUUCAAUUAUAGGGCUUUUCCUUUCUGAAGCUCGGGAUUAUCAAAGGAACUCUGGGCAAGUUGGACUUCCUCUCGUCUGGAGACUUCUAUUUCUAGGGCUUGGCUUUCUCUCUCUUCGAUUUUUGCAGCUGCGUUGUUGGAGGGGAUGAAGAGCUUCGCUUUCUCUCUCACCGAUUUUGCAGCAAUCGAUUUCAAGGGAAUCGAUUUUGGCAGCGAGGGUUUUCUGGCGAGCGUAGUUUUUCAAUUUCCAACCGAGUGAGAGAGAAUGAAAAAACGAG